GUGCGUAGCAACUAUCAAAUUGUGCUUAGCAUAGAAUAGAGUAUUAUUUUUAAAAUUUAAACUUAUUUUAAAGUAUCUAUUAUAUAUGUCAUUGAUUCAAAUUGAAAGACAAAGAUCUGCUGCCCACUGUACCUACAUAAUACAUUAUGAUAUACCUAUGAAUUAUCUGUAAAAUAAAUAGUAUCGAUUGUAUUUUAAUUUUCCUAAAAUGUUACUAAAUUCAUAAGUGUUAUUAUUAAUUAAAUAUGUUUAUGCAAAAAUAUACUUAGAAGUGAAAGCCUUUCCGCUUGUUACUCAUAAAUCACAAAUUCCCAUCUCACACAUACCAAUUACUGCAUAUAUACAAUGUAAGAUGUUUUAAAUCAUUUUAUAAUGGCGUCGUCCGGGAACCGUAAACGACGACUUAGAUGAUUUUGUCUCCGCAAUCCCCGCACGUCGAGGCGCACUCAUGUAUACAAUUUACCGCGAGUUCUCGAGCGGAUCUCUUUUUAACACUAAAAUAAAUCAUGCCUCAAUUUUGGCCUGAACACUUUGUCGUGGUAUGUUUGUUCGAUGUACCAAUCCAACACCACGUGUUAUGACAAACAGCUGAGAAUGUUGCCAAAUGUUAGCUAUUCGCCAUUUGUCAAUGACCGGAGCGAUUCGCGACAAAUCUGAGUCGCAAUGUUAUUAUAGUCAGCAUUCGCACGUUAUCGCAUCACACUAAUGUUCAAGGCAAACAAAAAUGUUCGCAGUGUUCGUAAAACAUUCGAAUACGGAAUAUUCACGAUACACUUAUUCAUAAAUUUAUAUGCUAAUGAAUAACUUUAAAAAUGAAAAGAAAUGUUCAACAGUAAAUAUCAAAUAAAGUGUAUAGUGCAUUUGAGUUUUAUCCAAAGUGAUUUUUGAAUACUUGUUCGAGUUGUUCGACCGAUAGUCAAACAUGUAAGCGGUAUCUACCUAUAAAAUGAAUGCUUGAAAAAUAAUUGAUAAUAAAUGUAUAUUAUUACAUCUGUGGGCAAUUCUAAUAAUAACAUCCAAUCAAACGAUACACGACUCGUGUCAGAAGUCAAGUGUUCAAGUCAAAGUAUGAUUAUAAUUUUUAUUCAAAAUUCACCGGCAAAGAUGUUUUAUUUUAAUGUUUUAUCUAUAUUUUCCAACUAUAUUCAUGUAUAACUUACUGAACUAAUAACUAUGUCAAUGCCGUUGUUUGAAUGCAUUGGGACUUGAAUGUUAAUUGUCUGGUUACUAAUUUAUAUAAUUAAAGAACUCAAUCAAAUGCUCAUUUAAAUGCAAAUGGCUCCAACUCUUAA